ACUCCUACGGGAGGCAGCAGUGGGGAAUAUUGCACAAUGGGCGCAAGCCUGAUGCAGCAACGCCGCGUGAGCGAUGAAGGCCUUCGGGUCGUAAAGCUCUGUCCUCAAGGAAGAAUAAAUGACGGUACUUGAGGAGGAAGCCCCGGCUAACUACGUGCCAGCAGCCGCGGUAAUACGUAGGGGCAAGCGUUAUCCGGAAUCACUGGGCGUAAAGGGUGCGUAGGCGGUUUUUCAAGUCAGAAGUGAAAGGCUAUGGCUCAACCAUAGUAAGCUUUUGAAACUGUAAACUUGAGUGCAGGAGAGGAAAGUGGAAUUCCUAGUGUAGAGGUGAAAUUCGUAGAUAUUAGGAGGAACACCAGUGGCGAAGGCGACUUUCUGGACUGUAACUGACGCUGAGGCACGAAAGCUGGGGAGCGAACAGGAUUAGAUACCCUGGUAGCACAGAG
rnacentral:rRNA from 1 species